UACGGAGGGCGCGAGCGUUGUCCGGAAUCACUGGGCGUAAAGGGCGCGUAGGCGGCCCUGGUAAGUCUGCGGUGAAAGCCCGGGGCUCAACCCCGGGUCGGCCGCGGGUACUGCCGGGCUGGAGUGCCGUAGGGGCAGGCGGAAUUCCGGGUGUAGCGGUGGAAUGCGUAGAGAUCCGGAAGAACACCGGCGGCGAAGGCGGCCUGCUGGGCGGCGACUGACGCUGAGGCGCGACAGCGUGGGGAGCAAACAGG
rnacentral:rRNA from 1 species